rnacentral:lncRNA from 10 species
UCAUUUAUCAUCCAUGUUUAAAAAAUUCCCAUCUCUCAGCUAAAAGACUACAUCAUAUGACUUAAUUCUAAUAGGUCAACUCUACUGAAGUUAAGAGCAUUCCCAAAGAAUGCUCUAUAUAAAACUUGUGUGUAUGUUUGCAGGAAUCUUAAUGGAUAUGUUUCUAGAGGAAAUGCUCCCAUGAGCAUUCUCUCCAUCAUUUAGCAGCUGUUAAAAUGAUGCUCUUCCCAAUGCCCUUGUUCCCUCAUUGUAAACGUGCUCUGAGUUAACCUGGUAGCCAGUACACAGUACACAGUAAAUGACAUUUCUUAUCUGUAUGUUAGAACUACUAUUCAAUAAGCUAAAAUAUUUUGAGCUUCCUCAGAUUUUCUCCUUUUUUUUUUUUUGAGACAGAGUCUUGCCCUGUUGCAGUGAGCUGAGAUCACGCCACUACACUCCAUCCUGGGUGGUGGAGUGAGACCCUGUCUAAGCAAUUAAAAAAAAAAAAAA